UACGGAGGGUGCAAGCGUUAUCCGGAUUCACUGGGUUUAAAGGGUGCGUAGGCGGAUUGGUAAGUCCGUGGUGAAAUCUCUAAGCUUAACUUGGAAACUGCCAUGGAUACUAUUAGUCUUGAAUAUUGUGGAGGUUAGCGGAAUAUGUCAUGUAGCGGUGAAAUGCAUAGAUAUGACAUAGAACACCAAUUGCGAAGGCAGCUGGCUGGGACGUUACUGACGCUGAGACGCGAAAGCGUGGGGAGCAAACAGG
rnacentral:rRNA from 1 species